rnacentral:lncRNA from 1 species
CUCUAUUUUUCUCUCUUUUCAUUUUCUCUCAGGCCAAGGCAUAAAAAAGAACAUGGAUCACAGCCGUCUCAAGAAAACUUCAGAAGAGUGUCUCCCAAAAAAUUCUUCAGGCAGACACAGAGAGAGGCGGAACUUUUCUGCUGAUGAGUUGCAGUACCUCAAAUUUGGUGUGAAGAGGUUUGGCCAUUCCUGGAACUCUAUCCUCUGGACGUAUCCCUUCCAGCCCGGACGCACCAAUGUAGACUUGGCCAAGAAGUACCAACACAUGCAGAAAGCUAAAGCACGGGGUGUGGAUCUAUCUGGGGCAGGAGACGAAUAAAACAUCACCAGUUGAACUCAUUUACAGCCAUCACUAUUUGUUGAGUUAUGUAUUGUAUAUUUUUGUUA